rnacentral:rRNA from 1 species
UACGGGGGGGGCAAGCGUUGUUCGGAAUUACUGGGCGUAAAGCGCGCGUAGGCGGACCUGCAAAUCGGGGGUGAAAGCCCGAGGCUCAACCUCGGAACUGCCUUCGAUACUGCGGGUCUCGAGUCCGGGAGAGGUGAGUGGAAUUCCUAGUGUAGAGGUGAAAUUCGUAGAUAUUAGGAAGAACACCAGUGGCGAAGGCGGCUCACUGGCCCGGUACUGACGCUGAGGCGCGAAAGCGUGGGGAGCAAACAGG